rnacentral:rRNA from 1 species
UACGUAGGUGGCGAGCGUUGUCCGGAUUUAUUGGGCGUAAAGCGCGCGCAGGCGGUGCGGUAAGUCUGUCGUGAAACCUCCCGGCUCAACUGGGAGGGUGCGGUGGAGACUGCCGGACUGGAGGCACUCAGAGGCCGGUGGAAUUCCCGGUGUAGUGGUGAAAUGCGCAGAUAUCAGGAGGAACACCGGUGGCGAAGGCGGGUCUCUGGGCCGAUAUUGACGCUGAGGAGCGAAAGCGUGGGGAGCGAACAGG